rnacentral:lncRNA from 1 species
GCGAAUAUUAAAUGCAUUUUUAUGCAGGUUGAAAUUUUGGAAAAUGUCCAAAUUAUAGGGGAGACUCUGCCGAAAUUUCGGCAGGAAGUCUCGGUCUUUAGUAAUUGGGCCUGGCAUCGGGAGGAUGUCGGGAAUUCCAAAGGGGUCGCCUCGGGUUAUGAAAAAUUCGGGGCGGGUCCUUUCAUUAUCAUUGAUGUUGAAUAGUCUCUGCUUUAUAGCUCCAAAUCUAUAUCGAAGGUUGACAACUAGAGCUAAUUCCUUGCAUGCGUGGGUCAAUAGAUGACAACUAUAUCAUGGCGACGCCGGCUUCUAUGUCACAAAAUAAAAAAAAAACAAAAAAAACAAAAAAAAGAAUUCAGAGGGAAAAUGAAGCGAAUGAGAGGAAAUGGGAUGCAUGGAGAAGAAAAUGGUUGAAGUAGGAAGGGUAACCGCUGCCCCCAGCUAGGGAUUUUUCUUUAGGGUUUUCUCAGAGAGCAAACGAAGGGGGGAUGAGACUAGUCAUUAUCUUAUUAGUAUAAGGAAUCAUGACAUGUAUGCUUACACGCAAUGAAGUAUGAGAAAGAAAGGGAAUAAUUCUAAUUUUUGACUACCCUCAUGUUUACUAACACAUUAGGAAUGAAAAAAUAAUGUGGGUCGUACCUUAAAAUUUGUAAUCACACACCCUCAAAAUAAGGAAUCAAAACAACUAAGGGGUAGUUGAUCCACUUCCCAUUCUUAUUCUCCCUUACUGCCUUCCAAAGAUACCCUUACAACUUUACAAUUCUCAUUUAUGUGAUGAUUUCAUAUGGUUAAUAAACAACUUAAUGGAAAUUACUUCUUCCCAUACCAAUUCCUUACUUCCCCCUUUAUUACGAGAAAUUAUAUAAUAGUAUGGCCACUGAUAAGUGCAUAAUUGUAUUUCAUUUUGUA